CAUCAUGACAAGUGAUAAUACAUCCACAUAUGCAUCUUGAUAAUCUCUGAGUAGAGACUGAGGACCCUGUGGAUCCAUCCAUGAAGGAAAUGAAGAGCUUAGAUGGAUUUCCUAAAUUGCUUGGUCCUAUCGAAGUAGAAAGCCAAUGCCUAUCUAACAUCCAAGCUCCAACAGAUAAUCAAAGAUGACUGAAAGUGGCACCAAAUCAGGCAAAAGGCAACAACAAUACCAGUGGAAGACUCUCUUCCAUUUCUGCAGCUACAGACCCACCUCUGGACCACAGCAAGGACCAUCUGGGUAGAAGACAGCACUGCUUCUGUAGGAACGGCCCUUGAGUAGCCAGUUGUCAAGGUAUGGGAAGAGUAGGAUCGCUUUUUGUCAGAGGUAAGCAACCACUACUGCCAGGACUUUUGAGAACAACCUUGGG